CGGGGCUCCAGUACCUUGCUAACCCGGUGACAACGCAUGUUCAGAGUGCGGAGCAACACAAUCAGGAUGUUAACUCGCUGGGGUUGAUAUCUGCACGGAAGUCGGCUGAGGCGGUGGAGAUACUGAAGCUGAUGAUGUCGACGUUCAUGGUUGGUCUGUGCCAGGCGAUGGACUUGAGGCAGAUGGAGGAGAAUUUGCGAGAGGUCGUGAAACAUGCGGUGGUUGCGGCUGCGGAGAUCACGGAGUUGAGUGCUAAUGCUGAUGUUUUGAAGGAGUUGGUGCAGGUUGUAGAGAGGCAGCCGGUGUAUUCUUACAUUGAUGAUCCGGCGAACCCGGCAUAUGCGCUAAUGCUGCAGCUGAGGGAGGUAGUGGUGGAGCGGGCGGUCGGCGGGUCGGAAGAGGGGAUGACAGCCUUCAAGAAGGUGCCAGCGUUUCAGGCUGAGUUGAAGGAGAGGCUUAACAAGGAGGUGGGAAGGGCGAGAGAGAGGUUUGGGAGAGGGGAUUUUGUUGUGGG
rnacentral:misc_RNA from 1 species